CCUACGGGAGGCAGCAGUGGGGAAUAUUGCACAAUGGGGGAAACCCUGAUGCAGCGAAGCCGCGUGAGUGAAGAAGGAUUUCGGGAUGUAAAGCCCUAUCAGCAGGGGAGAAAUAAUGACCUUACGGUCAGCAGACAGUACAUGCCGAAGAAGACCCGGCGAAAUACGUGCCAGCAGCCGCGGUAAUACGUAGGGGGCAAGCGUUAUCCGCAUUUACUGCGUGUAAAGGGGGGGGAGACGGCGGCGCAAGUCUGACGGGAAAACUCAGGGCGUAAACACUGACCUGCCGUUGAAACUGUGCAGCUAGAGUGGACGAGAGGUAUGCGGAAUGCGUGGUGUAGCGGUGAAAUGCAUAGAUAUCACGAAGAACUCCAGUUGCGAAGGCAGCUUACCGGAGUCCAACUGACGCUGAGGCACGAAAGCGUGGGGAGCGAACAGGAUUAGAUACCCGAGUAGUC
rnacentral:rRNA from 1 species